GGAGAUGGAACCCCAAUUUCUCCGCCAACUCAGAGGCCAUUGCUUAGGCUGCCCUGGGAGACUUGCUCGUCUUUGAAACCAUGAGCCUCUUAUGGACAAGAGAAGCCCUGUCACGAGCUUUAACACAAUGGAACCAGCUUAUUCUUGAGGUAGUGAGUUUCCUGUCUCUGGAUGUAUUUAAGCAAAGACUGAACAGUCACCUAGCAGGGUUAAGGCACCAUUGUGCUGAGAGCACAACUCACCACUGUCGCCUGCCCUCAGCCUCUCCCAACCAAAAACCACGAGUACCUCGAGACAAAUACAUUAUGGAGACAACUGUCAUCACAACCACAUGUGGUAUUAUUUACUCACGUCAGUUUGAAUGAUUAAUGUGGAAAAGUGGCUGGGCAGCUAAUGAGAUUGAGGGCCGUGUAGAACAAUUUCUAUGUGAUUUUAAACAAUGCCCACUCUGUCCGUGGAGAGUCACAGAAACAUGAAUAGCUGGCGCGGCUGCCUCCUCUCUCUGCUGACUCCCUGUCUCAGCUGGGUCCUCCCAGCACACUCCCUACUCCCAGAGACUCCAAAUUUUCCAUCUGCAGCCAAGGAAGAGAAAGCAAGGACCCUUUCUAUUUCAGCAGCCUGGAGCUGUGGGCAGUGGCGGCCAUCUGGCUGACGUCAUUGGUGACUCCUCAGACAGCCAGAGGACAGAUGAGACUUAGGGGGCCUUGCGAGAGAGUGAGGAUUGUUGGCCGCUCUUUGCCUUCUUUAAUGAGUGGCUGCGUAGACAAGGUUAUAAACCAAAUGAUGCUUCAUUCUUCAGAGAAACAGCAUGGAAGCGGAAGAGUUUGAAAAAGAACAAGGUGCUACAAACAAGUCAGGAAUUUGUUCUGCAGGCCUGUCAAGUCUAUAAAUAUCUAGAAUCCUGCUUACCAAGUAUUGGUGUGAGGGUUGAUGAUGAAACCGAUGCUCACAGAGUUGAAAUAAGCUGCUGAAGGUCAUGCAGUGACAAUGGGAAGGAGGAAAUAACCUGAGAGAGUGCACACCAAUCAUUUCAACGGCAAAAUCCAAAAGUGGCACACAUCGUUUCAGAUCCCAUCCCAUUGGUUGGGACAUAGUCACUGGUUUCACCUAGCUGCAAGAAAGGAUGGAAAAUGAAGUCGUUACCUGGACAGCUGAGCCAUGUGCUCAGCUAAAACUGAGAAAAGGGAUUUGGGGGCACAGUUAGCAAUCUGCCACAGCUUCCAACGAAGGUCUUGGAAUCCAGAAGGUUGGCAAUCCAGAAGAGCAUUGUACAGCUGCCCCUUCAUUCUAUAAUUCCUGUCUCACUCAACUUUGAGCCUUUGAGAUGGACUUCUGCAAGGAGCCGCAGUGCUCAUCACGUGCUGUGAGGAAAAUGGAGAGAGUUUGCAGAACAGUUCUCUCCCUUCAUUCAAAAUUAGGUUCAAGCUGAGAACCGCUGGUGAUUUUUCAAGUCCUGUUUUGGAUGAAAUAAGCAGACAUGUUUGAAUUAAUUAAUGUUGUAAGGCGACUCUUAGCACUGAGACUGAGCUAGUGCCUGAUAGAAGGAGCGCUGAGCCAGGAAUCACAAAACCCCUGUCCUAGCUUUGGCAUCGCCACCAACUCCUUGUAGGACUAUGAACAAAUCGCCAACAUUUCUGUGCCUUCGUUCCCCACUUACAUAAAUACAGAGAUAUUUGCACUUCUAGAAGAAGAAUGGUUGUGUCGAUACUCUGGUGUGACUUUGUUAUGAUAACACAGGAAGACUGAGGUGCAGUGGGCCCUUGCGAAUCAUCCUCCCCUCCAUGAACCAGGUGGAAUAGACCAUUCCCUUCUCAGAGACCCCUGGACCCUACAUCCUAGUACCCUAUACUAUAAGUCCUGCAAUAUUUGGUGGCUUAUAUUUUAUUUAUGGGUCUGCUUUCCCAUGGGCUUCUUAAAGAGUGUGCAUUUCUCAUUUGAUCGCUACAGUGCCUACUACUGUGGUUGGCACUUGAUAUUGGAUAAAUGAAUGAAAUAAAGCACACCCAAAGUUAGAUGGCUGGUCAGGGGCUGGUUAGUGGCUGGUUAGGGCUGGGUCAAGUCUGGUUACUCCCAGACCAGUCUUUUGCAUAUUUGACCUCUCCCUACUCUCAAGAAUAAGGGUGAAAUAGGAUAUCAAACGUAAGAAGUGCUCACGUUCUGGAGAUUCCGGUGCAGGAGAGGAGUGGUUUCCUCUGCUCAGGCUUGUUCUGCUAUUUCAGCCUCUUGGUCCUUAAUGAUGGUUUAUUCUCAUAGCACACUUCUCUCUCUCGUUUACCUCAAGAAUCUCUGCUUGGGAUAGAGGUGAGCAGAGGUUGGGCAGAGGUGCCUCAAGCCAAACCAAGGA
ensembl:lncRNA